ensembl:lncRNA
GGGACGCUGGGGGGGGCAGGGGGGGUAGGGAAGGGGGCGCGGGGGGGGGCCGUAGUGUUUUUUGCAGUUUUCAAAUCUGUAUUUUUUUUGCUGUUUGCCUGGGGGGGGGAUGGGAAUGGGGUGGGUGGGGGGGUCUUACCUGGCCCGGUCCAGGGAGCACAGGGGACCCCUGACAAAAAGAACGAGAAGGCCAGAGGGAGGCAGAGAAAGGCUGGCUGAGAGAGCGGAGGGAUUAGAGGCCGCGCGCGGGAGAGAGAGAGAGAGAAAGCCCUUCCAGAGAGAGCCCGAGAAAAGGGGCGUUUGGGGAAACAGAGGCACCAAAAGCGGGGGGGGGGGGGCUUAGAGGCAGGCCGUUCAUACAUUUACCCGUGCCCACAAUGCCGCGCUCCUCUAUCACGGAGGCCCAGGUAAGGAGGCACUGGAAGAGAGGAGGAAAAGCAAGGAAGCCCAGGCGUGCAUCCCCAGCACAGUGCCCGGCGCUCGCCAGGAGCCAACCAAUACUGGGCAACAGAGAAAGAUAAGGGGCCGGGGAGGGCGAGCCCGAGCUAGAAAAGGACAGAGGGAAGAGGGAGGCCCGAGGAAGACGUGGAAUCUGUCCAGGCCGGGAAGAGUCAACCAACAAGCAAAGCAGUGAAAAAGACACGGAAAAUCAAAAGCAAGUGAAUAUAAAAUAAUAGAGGGAACAGGGAUGCCAGAGGAAGACACUAGCUCUGUCUAGGGCCGGGAAGAAUCAACUAACAAACAAAGCAGUGAUAAAGACAUGAAAAAUCAAAAGCAAAUUACUAUAAAAUAAUGAAGGGAAGAGGGAUGCAAGGAAAGUAGUAAUGACAUGAAAAAUCAAAUUACUAUAAAAUAAUAGAGGGAAGAGGGAUGCCCGAGGAAGACAUUGAAUCUCUCUAGGGCCAGGAAGAAUCAACUAACAAGCAAAGUAGUGAUAAAGACAUGGAAAAUCAAAAGCAAGUUACUAUAAAAUAAUAGAGGGAAGAGGGAUGCAAGGAAAGUAGUAAUGACAUGAAAAGUCAAAAUCAAAUUACCAGAAUAAUGAUACAGAGAUCGGAACAGAAGAGACAGCAGAUGUUUCUGUGUGUGUGUGUGUGUGUGUGUGUGUGUGUGUAUGUGUGUGUGUGUGUAAGUGUAUAUACACACAUGCAUACAUAAAUACACAUAUAUGGCAUCAAAUGCAGAUUGUAUUUGCCCAGAGAGACAUGGGAAGGCAGAGGGACAAAGGCACCUGCUGAGCUCUGUCUAGACACACGUUACCUCUGGAGACGGAGCCAGUGACCCAGAGACAAGGGGACACACAGGAGGGAGAGGUACCAGCAGGGAAGCCCCAUGAGAGAGAGAGAAGGCUUCAUGGCUCCAGAGAGAUGCUGAGGGCCAGCGGCCAGAGGGAGGGGCUGAGGAAUCUGGGCUAGGGCAAGCCAAGCGGUGUCCGGUCAGCUGUUGUCACAUGGAGACAGGAUCCCAAAUCUGCCUCCAUCCCUGCCUCCCUGAUGGGUCUGGCUCCUCACCCUGCUGAUGUCCUGGUCCUGGUUGCCGACUGGGGCUGCAGGCUCGGGGCUGGGGCGGCGUGGACCACCCUGUGAGGGUGUCCUGUCUAAUAAAGUUGAUGAAGAGAACGGUGUGGGCUGUUAUUCCAGCUGGGCCCCCUUCCUAGAAGCCCAGAUUUCAUCUCUCCCUCUCUUGGAAGGCCUCAGGCAUCCCUUUCCCCCAGUCCCUGCCCUCUCCAGGACCCGGGCAUCCAGGCUCCAGCUCCUCCCACCCCCAGCCUCCCUCCCUCCACUUGUUCCCUUAAAAUACCCACAACAGGUGCGGGUGUUACUUACAUGGUGGGGCCCAAAAUAGCCCCAGAGGCCUUGGUCGGGGGGAGGGCUGCCUGCCUGUCUGUGUGGGUCAGGGGGGAGGCCGCAGUCGGAG